rnacentral:rRNA from 1 species
CGGGAGGCUGCAGUGAGGAAUAUUGGUCAAUGGACGAGAGUCUGAACCAGCCAAGUAGCGUGAAGGAUGACUGCCCUAUGGGUUGUAAACCUCUUUUAUAAAGGAAUAAAACGAGGCACGUGUGCCUUUUUGCAUGUACUUUAUGAAUAAGGAUCGGCUAACUCCGUGCCAGCAGCCGCGGUAAUACGGAGGAUCCGAGCGUUAUCCGGAUUUAUUGGGUUUAAAGGGAGCGUAGAUGGGUUGUUAAGUCAGUUGUGAAAGUUUGCGGCUCAACCGUAAAAUUGCAAUUGAUACUGGCAGUCUUGAGUACAGUUGAGGUAGGCGGAAUUCGUGGUGUAGCGGUGAAAUGCUUAGAUAUCACGAAGAACCCCGAUUGCGAAGGCAGCUUACUAAACUGUGACUGACAUUGAUGCUCGAAAGUGUGGGUAUCAAACAGGAUUAGAUACCCGUGUAGUC